GGAGGGCUCGCAUAGUGGCCGAGUGCGCUGGUCUUGAAAACCGGUAUGGCGGGUGACCGUCAUCGUGGGUUCGAAUCCCACGCCCUCCGCCC
rnacentral:tRNA from 1 species